rnacentral:rRNA from 1 species
AGAGCGAACGCUGGCGGCAGGCCUAAUACAUGCAAGUCGAACGGAUCCUUCGGGAUUAGUGGCGGACGGGUGAGUAACACGUGGGAACGUGCCCUUUGGUUCGGAACAACUCAGGGAAACUUGAGCUAAUACCGAAUGUGCCCUUCGGGGGAAAGAUUUAUCGCCAUUGGAGCGGCCCGCGUCUGAUUAGCUAGUUGGUGGGGUAAAGGCCCACCAAGGCGACGAUCAGUAGCUGGUCUGAGAGGAUGAUCAGCCACACUGGGACUGAGACACGGCCCAGACUCCUACGGGAGGCAGCAGUAGGGAAUCUUGCGCAAUGGGCGAAAGCCUGACGCAGCCAUGCCGCGUGAAUGAUGAAGGUCUUAGGAUUGUAAAAUUCUUUCAGCGGGGACGAUAAUGACGAUACCCGCAGAAGAAGCCCCGGCUAACUUCGCGCCAGCAGCCGC